rnacentral:rRNA from 1 species
CAACCUGCCCACCACUUGGGGAUAACCUUGCGAAAGUAAGACUAAUACCCAAUGACGUCUCUAGAAGACAUCUGAAAGGGAUUAAAGAUUUAUCGGUGAUGGAUGGGGAUGCGUCUGAUUAGCUUGUUGGCGGGGUAACGGCCCACCAAGGCGACGAUCAGUAGGGGUUCUGAGAGGAAGGUCCCCCACAUUGGAACUGAGACACGGUCCAAACUCCUACGGGAGGCAGCAGUGAGGAAUAUUGGUCAAUGGGCGAGAGCCUGAACCAGCCAAGUAGCGUGCAGGAAGACGGCCCUAUGGGUUGUAAACUGCUUUUAUAAGGGAAUAAAGUGAGUCUCGUGAGACUUUUUGCAUGUACCUUAUGAAUAAGGACCGGCUAAUUCCGUGCCAGCAGCCGCGGUAAUACGGAAGGUCCGGGCGUUAUCCGGAUUUAUUGGGUUUAAAGGGAGCGUAGGCCGGAGAUUAAGCGUGUUGUGAAAUGUAGACGCUCAACGUCUGCACUGCAGCGCGAACUGGUUUCCUUGAGUACGCACAAAGUGGGCGGAAUUCGUGGUGUAGCGGUGAAAUGCUUAGAUAUCACGAAGAACUCCGAUUG